GACGAACGCUGGCGGCGUGCCUAAUACAUGCAAGUCGAACGAGAGCGACCGGUGCUUGCACUGGUCAAUCUAGUGGCGAACGGGUGAGUAACACGUGGGUAACCUGCUCAUCAGAGGGGGAUAACAUCCGGAAACGGAUGCUAAAACCGCAUAGGUCUUCGAGCCGCAUGGCUUGAAGAGGAAAAGAGGCGCAAGCUUCUGCUGGUGGAUGGACCCGCGGGGCAUUAGCUAGUUGGUGAGGUAACGGCUCACCAAGGCCGUGAUGCAUAGCCGACCUGAGAGGGUGAUCGGCCACAUUGGAACUGAGACACGGCCCAGACUCCUACGGGAGGCAGCAGUAGGGAAUAUUCCGCAAUGGACGCAAGUCUGACGGAGCAACGCCGCGUGAGUGAAGAAGGUUUUCGGAUCGUAAAACUCUGUUGUUAGGGAAGAACAAGUGCUAGAGUAACUGUUAGCGCCUUGACGGUAUCUACACAGAAAGCCACGGCUAACUACGUG
rnacentral:rRNA from 1 species